CGUCACGGAUCGUGAUGUUCACAAAUAUCGCCACGAGUCGCGAUAACGUACAAUGUGUGUGAUGUAAUAUAUGUGUAAAAAAAUUUGUAUUUUCGUCGGGAGAUAGUAGAGACGAUAAUAUUUCGACCUAGUUUAGAAAAAAUAUUGUGCGCAGCUGAACUGUAUGGCGAUAUCUGCUUUCCCGAGAAGGAUCAAGAAAGCGAAAAAACAGUGGCUAGUAAAUUGCAAGAAGAAUACUGUGUGAAUUAUAAAAAAUAAUAUCAUAUAAAUAUAUGCAAGGAUAAAAGUACUUUUCAAUCAGUCUGCUAUAUUUCCAUAUUAAUUGUACAUUUUACAUCAUGACGGAAGAAAAGGGGAACAAUUUUUCUAUGAAACAACAAAAGCUAUCACAGAAUAAAAAAGUUGAUGAAAGUAAACGUGAUAAGCUAAGGUAUAUAGAAACAUUAUUUAAAAAGCACUUCACAAUUUCGGAUGUCAGUCAAGGGCAAAGACAAACAUAUACAUUACCCGAGCCCGAGUCUAUGUUUAAGGAACCGCCAUGGCGGCUGGAUAAUUUACAAAUAUUGAAGGAUAGUCUAAACGAGAUGAAGAGUCGCCUCAACAAUUUCAAUCUGUACGAAUGGCAGCAGCAUACGCACCAGAUGAACAAAGCGGGCGACAUCGUGAGCUCUGUGAAAAGGAACGUACAAGGAGAACUCGUGACUCAAGCCUGGUGUAAAUUCUAUGAGAUCGCUUCUAACUUUUUCUUGAUUCCAUUAAAUGAGAUUCGUCGCGAAGAAAACGGUAAUAAUUUCAUUUCUGUCCAUCUGUGCGAAGCACCAGGCGCCUUUGUGACUGCCCUAAAUCACUGGUUAAAGACAAAUGCGCCUGAUGUGCAAUGGAAUUGGUUGGCCACCACAUUAAAUCCUUACUGCGAGGGAAAUUCAUACGACAGGAUGGUCGCCGAUGACAGAUUCAUCAGGUAUACGCUGAAGCAUUGGUGCUUCGGCGCCGAUAAUACGGGCGAUAUCAUGGAUCUUAGAAAUCUAGACGUUCUGGUAAAGAGAUGCAAACUUCUCGAUGGAGGAAAACGAAUCCUUCUGAUCACCGCGGAUGGAAGUAUAGAUUGCACGGAUGUGCCGGGAGAGCAAGAAAGCGCCGUAGCACAAUUGCACUUAUGCGAAACGGUGACUUGUAUGCACCUCUUGCAAAAGGGUGGUAAUUUUCUUCUGAAGCUCUUUACCUUAUUCGAGCAUCAAUCCGUAUGCCUUAUGUAUCUGCUAUCUUGCGCCUUCCAACGGGUCAUCGUAACGAAGCCGGCGUCUAGCAAACCAGGAAAUUCGGAAAUGUAUGUCGUCUGUAUAAAUUUCAAAGGCAGAGAUUACGUAGCACCGUAUUUGAAUAUACUUAGGCAGCACUGCGGCAACGUGUCGCCUACAAAAGCGAUGUUUUAUCUGCGUGAUAUACCGGGUGAUUUUCUGCGGAAACUUGAGGAAUGCAGCGAGUUCUUCAAGCAUCAUCAGUAUCAAGUCAUAAAAGAUAACAUAAGCAUGUUUCGCGCGGAAAGAUCCAAUGAAAUCCCCUUUGAACUGAGACACGUCAAGCGGAUUGUCGCUAAUAAAUAUCUUAAAGAUUACAGAUUGAGUCGAAUAGAUUCCGUGAAUAAGAUAGUCGGCCGGGAGAUAUUAGAGAAGAGCAACAGUGGUUUCAUGAAUAAAAAAUGGCGUGUCGAUUCUUACAACGAGCGUUGCAAGAAGCAAGAUUUAGAACCGCGAGAACAUUUAUUGCAGAUAUGUAACGAAGCAAUGGAGAUCGACUCGCCAGCAGAAAAAUCUUACACUUGGCAUUUACGGACACCGCCAGAAACUUUAGAGAUACAAACGGGAAGAUCAUUUAACAAAAUACGCAGCUCGCACUUUUGUGACUCCAAAAUUCACCAGAUAUUAAACAAAAUUAACGAUAUAGUACGAGACACGCGCUCUAGUGUAUGUUUUCCAACGACAGAAAUUAUAAGAGAGCAGACGCAGCGAAUUGAUCCAACUCACGAGAUAUUGAGUUUCCAAUUCGUUCGCGAUUACGAUAGUCAUCAGAUAAUCGCUGAAAUUUACGAUCGAUUAGAAAAGUUUCGAACAGGACAAACACUCGUUCUCAUCGGCUACUCUUUGCUAACACAGUUGAACAUCGGUCUCUUACAUCUUCUGGGUGGUUUCUUCGAUAAGAUUACGAUAGAAAUUCAUGACAACGAAGGCUAUCGCAUAAAAUUGGAAUCUUAUAGACAUAAUGACAAAAUAUUGAAUGAUUUGCGCGAAAUACUUACUGCGUCGAAUAAUGCACGCAAAGAUAAUAUGACAGUCUGGUCGAUAAUACCCAUAACGAUUUUAUAUGAAUGUGACCAGUUUCCCUUGAUAAUGCAACUUAAUCACUUGGUGAUCAAAUUGUAUGCUCAUCACGUCAGAAAUUCUAUACAUGAUGUGAUUGUAUAAUUAUAAAAAUAUAAAUUUACUUAUAUUUAUAAUUAAAAUUAUAUAUACAUUCUCUCUUUUUUAAAUGUAAUUGUAAAUAAUUUGUAAAUAAUUUGUGAAUCUAUAAAUAUCGUUUGCAUUGUAAAUGUUUCAUCUUUUAUUAUGAAUAACACAUACAUAUAUAAAGCUUUGUAAAUUGUACGAUAUAAAACGAAAUGUCAUUAAUGGAAAAAAAUGAUCGCAUGUAUGGGCAAAUAAUACAAAACAAAAAUGAUUCAAGAUCGACACUUAUAGGUCACGUUUGUUUCAUAACAACGGAUGACCGGCGUUUUGGGAUCAUGUUUGAUGUAUAAACCGAGAUUUCGCUUUCUAGAAAAGAGCGAUUUCUCAGGAAUAACAAAACAGCGUUGUACGAGAUCUCGGCGAAGUCUUUGGAGGCGUAUUGUAACUGUGUAAAAAUUCCGGUGCCACAUUUUAGAUCGACGCCAUUGC